AGUACCUUAUAUUAGAGGUAAUAAACUUAAUGUGCAGUAGCAAAGGUGCAUUAAUGAAUGUGUAGACAUGUUAUAGAUGAGAACCCAGCUACUCCAAACCUUAUUCCUGUUUGGUUUCCUUUGCUUUGUCCUAAGUUUUGCUUGCUCUUGAAAAAAUCUAGAAAGGAAGCAGGGAAAAAGACUUGUGGGUCAAGAAUGGAGAAAUAAGAUAUAAUAACAUUUAUUUUGGUUUAUUGGCUUAAAAUUAUCUUAGGUGCAUACGUCCUGAUUUUAUUUUCUUGAGGCUAUAUGGUAGGGGGAACUCCACUAUAGAGAUACUACAAUUUUCCAACAGUGUAGGUCAGAAGAGAAUUGUAUAUACAAAUAAUGAUAUUGGUCUCCAAUGGUGCAUAUCCUCUCAUGUGACCAAAGGGACUUGGCAAUGGGAGACUUGGGAAAAGGAACUGCUUUAUAAUUCCAAUGCAUAUUAACUAACAUAAUGGCUGAAUUAUGACCAGGUACUUGUGUUUAAAGUCAUGUCAGUUGUCUGUGAUUAAGCCUAGGGCUACUCUGGAGAUAACCAUAACCAGUUGACAAGUUUCUAAACACAAUGCUCUGUGUCCUGUCUGAAUGCUUAACUUCAUUUUAGUUACCAUGUGUUAAAACAGGAUGCAUUUUCCCUGGAGUAGGAAAUCUAUGGACUCUGGACAGGCAGUGGACUGCUGCAUUCAUAGGUCAGAGGCAAAAAUUCUCAGAAUAUACUGUCAUGAACUAUGACUCUCACAUGCUGGUGAUUGCUCCCAGUGGCUUUCAGCAGUCUGUGUCAGAACUGAAGGGGGGCUGGUAGUGCUUUAGUGAAGUUCAGCCCUUCUCUGGAUUCAGCUGUGGCCAUCUCAGCCAACAAUGACUUCUGUCAUCAACUCAGAAAGAAGCUGUUCUGAGGUCUCCUGGAUGACAUAUUUUGCUUGUUUGGCUAGCAUUUCAACUGGAAAGCAAGGCUGUGCUGCGGGUCCUAUUCUCCCAUGCUAAUAGGAAUGGGAAUGCAUUGUAGUAUAUUUCCUUAGAGAUAUGGCUGGAGGCUCUGCCCUCAUAAGCGAAUACAAGCUCUGACUCCUAAUAAAUUUAAUCUGUUGCCUGGA